AGGCAGAAAUGCGUAGUCGAUGGGAAACAGGUCAAUAUUCCUGUACCAGGCCAUGAUGCGAUGGGGGGACGGAGAAGGUUAGGCUGGCCGGGUGUUGGACGUCCCGGUUUAAGCGUGUAGGCGUGCCCGAUAGGCAAAUCCGUCGGGCUGAGCCAAGGCGUGAUGACGAGGAUCCUCGGAUCCGAAGUAGCUGAUACCCUGCUUCCAAGAAAAGCCUCUAAGCUUCAGUCAUGGCGUGACCGUACCGCAAACCGACACAGGUGGGCUGGUAGAGUAUACCAAGGCGCUUGAGAGAACUCAGGAGAAGGAACUCGGCAAAUUGAUACCGUAACUUCGGGAGAAGGUAUGCCCCGUUAGCUUGUAGGAGCACAUCCGAAGGGCGAAGGGGCCGCAGAGAAUCGGUGGCUGCGACUGUUUAUUAAAAACACAGCACUCUGCAAACACGAAAGUGGACGUAUAGGGUGUGACGCCUGCCCGGUGCCGGAAGGUUAAGUGAUGGGGUGCAAGCUCUUGAUCGAAGCCCCGGUAAACGGCGGCCGUAACUAUAACGGUCCUAAGGUAGCGAAAUUCCUUGUCGGGUAAGUUCCGACCUGCACGAAUGGCGUAACGAUGGCCACACUGUCUCCUCCUGAGACUCAGCGAAGUUGACAUGGUUGUGAAGAUGCAAUCUCCCCGCGGCUAGACGGAAAGACCCCAUGAACCUUUACUGUAGCUUUGCAUUGGACUUUGACGGGACUUGUGUAGGAUAGGUGGGAGGCUUUGAAACCGGGACGCCAGUUCCGGUGGAGCCAACCUUGAAAUACCACCCUGGUGUCGUCGAGGUUCUAACCCAGGCCUGUGAAUCCAGGUCGGGGACCGUGCAUGGUGGGCAGUUUGACUGGGGCGGUCUCCUCCCAAAAGGUAACGGAGGAGUACGAAGGUCACCUAGGUACGGUCGGACAUCGUACUGAUAGUGCAAUGGCAAAAGGUGGCUUGACUGCGAGACCCACACGUCGAGCAGGUGCGAAAGCAGGUCAUAGUGAUCCGGUGGUUCUGUAUGGAAGGGCCAUCGCUCAACGGAUAAAAGGUACUCUGGGGAUAACAGGCUGAUUCCGCCCAAGAGUUCACAUCGACGGCGGAGUUUGGCACCUCGAUGUCGGCUCAUCACAUCCUGGGGCUGUAG
rnacentral:rRNA from 1 species